rnacentral:rRNA from 1 species
CGGGUGAGUAACGCGUGGGUAACCUGCCUCACACAGGGGGAUAACAGUUAGAAAUGACUGCUAAUACCGCAUAACCCGAUAGGAUCGCAUGAUCCAGACGGAAAAGAUUUAUCGGUGUGAGAUGGACCCGUGUCUGAUUAGCUAGUUGGUGAGGUAACGGCCCACCAAGGCGACGAUCGGUAGCCGGCCUGAGAGGGUGAACGGCCACAUUGGGACUGAGACACGGCCCAA